UUACUGAAUCUUUUUGGAUUCGAGAAAGCCUUACUAGUUUGAUACCCUAAAGAUAUAGAAGCAGAUUGGGGCUUAUCCACUUAGUACCCCACUACCCAUUUUCCAUUUAGUGACCCCACUAAGGGAUUCUGAGAUCCUCUGUGAAAGGGACUGUGGAAGCAUUAAGCUUGUGAGGGGUAUGGAAUAGCCUUCUUUCCACAAGGGCUGCACCUCUGUGAGGCUGCUGUUAGGACUGGAUGUGGCUGGUGGGACCAAAUACAAUGUUCCAGGACAGCUUGUGAAGUCUCAAAACAAAUCAUCCAUUUUUUGGACAUACUGGGCACAUUUAAUGAAAUAUUCUCAACUGUCUUAGCCCUCAUAUCUCUUUGCCUUCACCGCUUUCUGUCUUCCCACCACCUUCCCAGCCCUUUCUCUCUCAUCUCCUUCACCAGUGGGAAAGUCCCAAUUCAAAUGCCACCUUCCUGGAGAAUUUUUCCCAGUUUCCUUCAGACAAAAUAAUUUUUGUUGUUGUUGUUGUUGUUGAGAGCCCCCAAGUGUUUUGUCUGUACUGUCAGUUGAACACUUGGUUUUUGGUACUUUCAUCCCUUAGAAACUUGAGUCUAAGAUCUUCGUCUUAUUCCAUGCUCCAUCCCUGCUUUGGGGCCAUAUGCAAGUGCUUCUACUGAACAUAUAAAUCUAGUCUUUUUCUCUUUAUUUAUGCAGCUUCCUCCAGCCAACUUGAAUGUUCGUAAAUAGCCCAUCUUUGUUUUCAGUUCUCGUGGCUGAGGAUGUAUAAAUUACUAGUAGGUGUGAACAAAGAAAUGUAUCUUGGAAGAGGUGAGAUAGUGAAUGUGAAGCAUACUUAGAAGCAGCAGCAGAGUAUAUUUGGUAGUAAGGAGGGUCAAGGAACAGAUUUGAAAAGGUUUUAGGAAUAUUCUGUGGACUGACCAAAAGUUUAUAGGAUUUCUGAUUUGUAUAGUUUAAAGACAUUUAGGGAAUGUCAGGGCAGGCAUUAUGAAUAUUGCUUUUUUUUUAAUGGGGACACUAACUGGCUUGGCCAAAUUAUACAACCAUUACAUGAGAGAACCAGAACUUAAGUCUAGGACUUGUGCAUACAAGUCCAGAGCUCUUUCCACUACAACACACUGGACUAUGUUUACGCAAGAGAGCUCCAAAGGUUGUGACAUUGGGAAGGGGGAACUGUGACCAUUCUCUGUAUUUUGUUUUUCUGGUGAUGGAUGGAAGGAGAGGAGUUCUGCAAAAUGUAACCCACCAAACCCUUGACAUGGAACAGGGAACAUCUGUGGUCUCCUUUGCUCUACUCAUCUGACUCUUUUUUUUGGUUUACCAGUUUCUCUUUGAGUCAAAAAAGGAACUGAGCACAACCCAACUGUCACCAACCAGUUCCUGCCCCAGUGUUUCUCAGAUGGUAGCCCCAAUGUGAUGAGUUUGCAAAUGUUGGGGGUGAUUGGAAGGCACAGUUGGGAGUAAGGCAGGAGUUGUCCUUGACAUAACAAGGGUGUUAUCUGUGUUCCCAGGUUUCAUGAAGCUGAAGUUAUUCCCAAGAAUCUUGACAACAGGUGCCAUUCUAGGGAGGACACUUCUAAACUAAGUGGACCUCAGGAUGUGGUUAUAGUUGCGUAGAUAGUUCGGAUCCACUUUCUUCUAAGUCUCAUGACCACUGAAUUCAUGGAUGAUCACACUCAAUGAUUCAUUUCUGCUCAGCAGCUUCCUCAGGACAAGCCAUCUACAGCCUUUUCUCCCUCAUUGCACGCAUCCUCUCCUGCACUGUAUCCUCUCCGAGCUGCUUCUGAUGCAAUGGUUCAGCUUAGGAUUUCUUUCUCCCACUAAGACGACAUGUUGUUAAGUUAAUUCUUAUCAGAACUCUGCAGUAUGGCCAUAAUUACUCCCAUUUUGUAGAUGAAGAAACCGAAGCUUAGAGAAAUCAUACAACUUUCUGAAGACACAUGAUCACAUAUUGGUAGGUAACAUGGUCAGAAGCAGAUGGGGAUUCAGACUUAGGUUUUCUCUGACUUCAGACUGUGCCCUUCAAAGACAGGACCAAAUCUGAACUCAUCACUUUCUAGGUAUCCACCUUUUUUCUUCUGGCCACACCUCUGGCAUAUGGAAGCUCCCAGGGCCAGGGACUGAAUCCGAACAGCUGCGGCAAUACAGGGUCCUUAACCUGCAGGAACUCCUAGGUAUCCACCUUCUCAUGAACACAGACAAAGUAAUAGAAUUAUGUUAUUACUACUCACUUAUAUUUUUUCUCAACAUUUUAAGUUGGGAGCUUAAAGUAUAUUUCAUGUGUAUCUUCAUAACUGUUCUAGAUCUUAAGUCCCUUUAAGAGCAUAAAUGGUGGAGUGUCUUUCAUGGCUCAGUGGUUAACAAACCCCACAAGGAUACAUGAGGAUGCAGGUUCCAUCCCUGGCCCUGCUCAGUGGGUUAAGGAUCCGGCAUUGCCAUGAUCUAUGGUGUAGGCUGCAGAUGCAGCUUGGAUCCCAUGUCACUGUGGCUGUGGUGUAGGCUGGCAGCUGUAGCUCCCAUUAGACCCCCAGUUUGGAAAAUUCCAUAUGCCGUGGGUACGGCCCUUAAAAACAAACAAAUAACCAAAACAUAAUUGGUAAUCAUUUAGCAACCAUAUACUGAUAAUUAUUGGGUGUAGGAGGGCUUGGGCAACAUGCUGGGGAUAGAAAGAGGAACUUAACUUUGGGCCAUGAUGGGGAGGCAAUGGGGCAAAAGAGGGGAAAUUUCCCUGCUUAUUGCUCAGCACGGAUAUUAUCACGGAUGGCACUUACAGCAAAUAUUUUUAAAGAUGAAAGUGGUAAAUCAUGCUUGUGGUCACAAAGAUGAAAAAACCAAAGAACAGGAAGGCCAGGUGAUGUGUAUUCUCACGUAAUUAAGCCAUUCAUAAAAUGAGUGGGUGUCUUCUUAAAAUGCAAGCCACCACAUACUUGGCUAUAUCUUAGAAUUUUUGCUUAAUUCAUGUUUAUCAAUGUUGUAGGCUUGCUUCCGAUAAAAUGAGCAGAUAAGCAGUGCAUGUGUGCGGGUGCACCGACCAAUGCUAAGACAUAGAGCCUCUUCUCCUCUCUUUGACAGGAAGCAACCCCGCUCCUUCUCCAAAAACAAAAACAAAAACAAACAAACAAACAAACAAAAAACAAAUUUCCUUCCCUGGGACUAACAUUCUGCUUUUUUGGGGGGGGGAAUCAGUAGACAGAUUAAUUUUUCCGUAUUUCAACGGAGGUACGGAAAAUAUAUCGUAAAAGGGCACAUGGUGCCACCUAGUGGCUAAGAUUAUAAAUACAGAAGCAGGUAAUAGACAAGCCUCAGGAAUUGAGAUAUUCCUAUUAUUCACCCAGAUACAGAUAUUCACUGCAUGGGGUAUUCCAUAAAAAUUCAGAAGUAUGUCCUACUCCCAUCCUUGUAGGAACUUAUAUUCAUUUUAAGGAUUUGAGAAAGAAAAGCUCAUUUCCAAGAGAAAACUAAAGCCAAGGGAAUGAUUAGGAUUCCUUAAUAAAAUGUCCAGGAGAUGAAUCCUUAAAUUUUUUCUAUUUUUCCAGAAUGUAAAUAUCUAUGAUUGUUAACAGUGAAUAAUUUUAAUAAUACUGGUUGAAAAAAAUUAAAAAUAUAUAGAAAGAAGUGUAUAAAGUGUAUCAUGUAAGUCUCCUCAUGUCAGCUCCCAGAAAUAACCAGUUAACUGUUCAAUAUAUAUCUUUCAAUAUUUUUCAUAUAUAUAUACUUGGUGGUCUUUAGCUGGAGGGCACUGACACACAAAAUCAUGAGAUUAAUAUAUAGAAUAGUAUACAUUGACAAGAAAAGGAUUAACAUACCGUAAGCAACUAGGAAAAAAGAAAAAAA
rnacentral:lncRNA from 1 species